rnacentral:rRNA from 1 species
AGUCGAAGCUUCUUUCCUCCCGAGUGCUUGCACUCAAUUGGAAAGAGGAGUGGCGGACGGGUGAGUAACACGUGGGUAACCUACCCAUCAGAGGGGGAUAACACUUGGAAACAGGUGCUAAUACCGCAUAACAGUUUAUGCCGCAUGGCAUAAGAGUGAAAGGCGCUUUCGGGUGUCGCUGAUGGAUGGACCCGCGGUGCAUUAGCUAGUUGGUGAGGUAACGGCUCACCAAGGCCACGAUGCAUAGCCGACCUGAGAGGGUGAUCGGCCACACUGGGACUGAGACACGGCCCAGACUCCUACGGGAGGCAGCAGUAGGGAAUCUUCGGCAAUGGACGAAAGUCUGACCGAGCAACGCCGCGUGAGUGAAGAAGGUUUUCGGAUCGUAAAACUCUGUUGUUAGAGAAGAACAAGGACGUUAGUAACUGAACGUCCCCUGACGGUAUCUAACCAGAAAGCCACGGCUAACUACGUGCCAGCAGCCGCGGUAAUACGUAGGUGGCAAGCGUUGUCCGGAUUUAUUGGGCGUAAAGCGAGCGCAGGCGGUUUCUUAAGUCUGAUGUGAAAGCCCCCGGCUCAACCGGGGAGGGUCAUUGGAAACUGGGAGACUUGAGUGCAGAAGAGGAGAGUGGAAUUCCAUGUGUAGCGGUGAAAUGCGUAGAUAUAUGGAGGAACACCAGUGGCGAAGGCGGCUCUCUGGUCUGUAACUGACGCUG